CCUGCAGCGUUUCAUCCGUCCUGCUGCUGAACUUCCAGAGGGAGGAGCGUCCGGCGGGAAUGGCAGGUCCACGGGGAGCUGUGUUGUUGAGAGCUCCGAGCAACAGUCGCUACGCGUUCAGGACACACAGGAAGAGCAAACAAAGCAUGCGGGGGGCAACCUUCACCCCAUCCCAGUCCCUGGUUGAUGAGGAAGAAGCUCCAGGUGAAGAGCAGGAGGAGCUAAAGCAGAGUCCUGCUGGAAGGCGCCAUGAUCCCACAGAAGAUUCCCGUUCACCCGCCUGAACACGCUGGCCGGAAGUAAACAAACAGGAGCCGUCCGGGUCUGCUGCACGGAGCUCCCCACCCAGGCGUUCCUGACCCCGGCGUUCCUGACCCCGGCGUUCCCGGCGCUCCCUCUGACCUCCUUUCCUCAGAGCAGUGUGGGGUUAUGGAGCUCACACCCCCACGCCGGCUCCCAUUGGUCUUCCCGCUCGGCCCCCUCUCCGUGGAGACUCAUUAACAAUACGAUGAGGCUGAGCGAUCCCGACCUGCCGGUAAGGCUCCCGGGGGGGUGGGGGCCUCCUGAUUGUUCAGCCGGCCGGGGGGGGGGGGGUUGACAGCUCCCAGAUGGAAAGUCCUUCCCUCAGGUUUUCCCGCUAACGUCCGUCGUCUCCAUUCGUCCACGUUUGUCCUCCUUUUGACAGCGAGCGUUCCAGAAAGUGAGGACGUGACGUCCAGGACUGGCGUGAAGGCGUUUCCUCGCCGUCUUCCUGCUUCUACCGUCAGGUAGUGCUCAGGAGAAGUGGGAGGGGAGCAGGUGUGGCCUCUGUCCUUCAGGUAGGUUUGCAAAUGAUCGCACACUCCUCACACACAAACACACCCUCCCGCACAAAGCCGUCAAACCGGAUCGGCCUCCUUUGUGUUUGUGCUGAAAGAACCCGAUCAGACGUGGAGCCUCCUGGUUACCAUGGAGACCGGUUUGACAUGUCCUCUCUCUCCUGAGACGCCAGCAGCUGGAAAGCCUCUCACACCUCAACCAGGAACUGACAGACGCUGAACUCCCAACCAGGAGCAAUUACCUCCUGGAGCCCAGAGGCCUGACGUCCAGCAAGACGGACGUCCUGCGGAUCAAUAGCAACAAGCCCAUCGAUCAGAAACGUGAGACCUUCACUGGGAUGUAACGCCGCUGAAAGCACUUCACUCCUGCACUGUCCAUCAUCAGCCGGCUUCCUUCUAAGAAACAAGGCUAUGUUUGUGGAAUUUCAGAAGACGAUCAUGGAAACGAGGAGAAAACGUAACCAAUUCUCUCUACAAACAUGUUUCCUGUGUGUCAGUGGUCCGUGUCACUUCUUCACAGACGUAGCAGAACCUCCUCCUUCCUCGUACACUAAGCAGAAACACAUUUUGCUGCUUUGGUUGGUGAAACGAUGAUCCUGCAGAUGAAUCUGUGUCAGGAACACAGGAAGCCAGUUACUGAAUGGCCUAGUUCCACUGGGAGCGUGGUGACACUGGACACAGUGUGAGGGCCCGCCGACGCCCCCCCCGGGGGGGGAGUGGAGCUGGGGCUGCCAUUGGCUGCCGGCUCAGACAAAAGCUCGUGUAAACACGCUGGUAUCUACAGGCAACCGGCGAGAAUGAGGCUCUUUUGUGAGGAUUCUGGACGCGGCGCAUUCCGCCGCCUCUUCCUGUUUCUAUGGACGGGAGCGCAGAGGGUUAACGGGGAACGAACGGAGGGAAAGGGCCGUGACCAGAAGGUUCUGCUGGGACGACGGAUCAGAGAGAAGCUCCUCAGGAAGAGUCACCGUGUCGUCUGUACAGGACACUUCUGAACCUGAAUAUCUCCAGACUCUGCAUCCUACUGAAUGACCUGAGGACAUGUGGAGCUUUUCAGUGAUGCUACAUGUGAGGAGGAGGCGGGGCUCUGGGAAUAACAGUUUGGUCACCCUGAGCAGCGGUAGAACCCGCAUGUUCAGCUGAACUGAAGCUGAAUAAACAGACUUUGGUCAAACCUG